rnacentral:rRNA from 1 species
UACGGAGGGUGCAAGCGUUGUCCGGAAUCACUGGGCGUAAAGGGCGCGUAGGCGGCUCAUGAAGGCUGUGGUGAAAGUCCGGGGCUCAACCUCGGAUCGGCCGUGGCGACUCGUGGGCUGGAGCACUGUAGAGGCGGGUGGAAUUCCGGGUGUAGCGGUGGAAUGCGUAGAGAUCCGGAAGAACACCAGUGGCGAAGGCGGCCCACUGGCCCGAGUACUGACGCUGAGGCACGAAAGCGUGGGGAGCAAACAGG